rnacentral:rRNA from 1 species
AGGAAUUCAAUGGCCGCAGUAUUCUAACUGUGCUAAGGUAGCAUAAUCAUUUGUCUUUUAAUUGAGGGCUGGAAUGAAAGGUUGGACGAGAUAUUAGCUUUCUUUAUUUUAAUUUUGGGAAUUUAAUCUUUAAGUUAAAAAGCUUAAAUGUACUUGUAGGACGAGAAGACCCUAUAGAUCUUUAUAAUUUUAUAUUUUGGUAAUGUGGGGAUUUCUUUGCUUGGAGUAAAUUAAUUAUUUUGUUGGGGUGACUAUAGAAUUUUUAUAACUUCUGUUUAUUUAUAUCAUUUAUUAGUGUUUUUUUGAUCCGCAUGAAUUGCGAUUAUAAGAUUAAGUUACCUUAGGGAUAACAGCGUAAUUUUUUCGGAGAGUUCAUAUUGAUGAAGGAGUUUGCGACCUCGAUGUUGGAUUAA